rnacentral:rRNA from 1 species
GAGGUUGGCUUCGGCCAGCCUAGUGGCGGACGGGUGAGUAAUGCGUGGGAAUCUGCCUCGUAGUGGGGGAUAACGUAGGGAGACUUACGCUAAUACCGCAUACGCUCUACGGAGGAAAGGGGGGAUCUUCGGACCUCUCGCUAUGAGAUGAGCCCACGUCUGAUUAGCUAGUUGGUGGGAUAAAGGCCUACCAAGGCGACGAUCAGUAGCCGGCCUGAGAGGGUGGACGGCCACACUGGGACUGAGACACGGCCCAGACUCCUACGGGAGGCAGCAGUGGGGAAUAUUGGACAAUGGGCGAAAGCCUGAUCCAGCAAUGCCGCGUGUGUGAAGAAGGCCUGCGGGUUGUAAAGCACUUUAAGUGGGGAAGAACGGGAUUGCGCUAAUACCGUGAUCCUUUGACGUUACCCACAGAAUAAGCACCGGCUAACUCCGUGCCAGCAGCCGCGGUAAUACGGAGGGUGCGAGCGUUAAUCGGAAUUACUGGGCGUAAAGCGCAUGUAG